UACGGGGGGUGCGAGCGUUGUCCGGAAUCACUGGGCGUAAAGGGCGCGUAGGUGGCGUGAUAAGGGUGUGGUGAAAGCCCGGGGCUCAACCCCGGGUCUGCCAUGCCGACUGUCAGGCUCGAGUGCUGUAGGGGCAGGCGGAAUUCCGGGUGUAGCGGUGGAAUGCGUAGAGAUCCGGAGGAAGACCGGUGGCGAAGGCGGCCUGCUGGGCAGUUACUGACACUGAGGCGCGACAGCGUGGGGAGCAAACAGGG
rnacentral:rRNA from 1 species